CAGCCGUAAACAAUGUGCGUUAGGCGUGUCGGUAACCACGUGUUACUGAUGCGCCGAAGAGAAAUCGUGAAACGCACCACCUGGGAAGUACGGUCGCAAGGCUGAAACUUAAAGGAAUUGGCGGGGAGCACCACAACAAGUGGAGCCUGCGGUUUAAUUGGAUUCAACGCCGGACAUCUCACCGGAUAAGACAGCUGAAUGAUUGUCAAUCUGAAGGUUUUACAUGACUAGCUGAGAGGUGGUGCAUGGCGUCAGUGACU
rnacentral:rRNA from 1 species